AACUUUUGGCAACGGAUCACUUGGCUCUGGCAUCGAUGAAGAACGCAGCGAAAUGCGAUAAGUAAUGUGAAUUGCAGAAUUCAGUGAAUCAUCGAAUCUUUGAACGCACAUUGCGCCCGCCAGUAUUCUGGCGGGCAUGCCUGUUCGAGCGUCAUUUCAACCCUCAAGCCCCAGCCGGCUUGGUGUUGGGGACCGGCCCCGGCCGCCCCCCAAAUGCAGUGGCGACCUCGCCGCAGCCUCCCCUGCGUAGUAGCACAACCUCGCACCGGAGCGCGGAGACGGUCACGCCGUAAAACGCCCAACUUCUCAGAGUUGACCUCGGAUCAGGUAGGAAUACCCGCUGAACUUAAGCAUAUCAAUAAGCGGAGGCU
rnacentral:misc_RNA from 1 species